rnacentral:lncRNA from 1 species
CCUCUCCCUCCACACCUCCAUGCAAGCUGAGGGAGCCUGCUCCGGCCUUGGCCAGCCCAAAAACGGGCUCCCACAGUGCAGCGGUGGGCUGAAGGGCUCCUUAAGUGCCGCCAAAGUGGGAGCCCAGGCAGAGGAGGCGCCGAGAGCGAGCCAGGGCUGUGAGGACUGCCAGCACGCUGUCACCUCUCAAUGGGAAGAAAUGUUCUAUAACAGCUGCAUGGCCAGAAGCUGUCUGACUAGACUCUGGAGUCUCAUGAAGCUUCGCAACUUCCAGAGGAAGACUUAAAUGGUAAAUCGCCAUUACUUUUGGUCAAAUUCAGCUCCUUUCUCAGCAGCAGCUACGCAUUCCUCACCCUCCAACCUCUUGGCAGACAGUCCUACGCGUGUUCCAGAGCAAUUUUCACACAGUUAGCAGGAACCAAGCAACCACUGAAUAAAGAGUAGCCCAGGAAGAAUUACAAUCUCAUAGGCACUGAUAUAGCAGUGCUAAGAAGAGAUGACAUAACUCAGCUUUAGAUUGCACCCUCAAGAAAUCAUGCUGAAUUUCACAACAGGUCUGACUUGGAACCACAUGAGUAACUGACACAUCCUAUGGUCACAUGGACAGUGCCCUAUGAACAGCUCUCUGUUGACCAACAAAAAGAUGCUUCGUUUAUAGAUGGCAUUUUCAAGGUGGAAACACAGCAUCCUAUUUGGAAGACUGCUGCACUAAGACCAGCAUAUGAAAUGACUGAUUGAAGAAGCUUUCUUUCUGCUUGGUCUUCCGCCAUGAUUAUAAGUUUCCUGAGGCCUCCCCAGCAAUGCAGAACUGUA